GCCCCGGUGUCCCAACUGGCAGAGGAUGACGACUUAAACUCGUCCAGAUGUGGGUUCGAGUCCCACCCGGGGCAC
rnacentral:tRNA from 2 species